rnacentral:tRNA from 1 species
GUAUUUAAGUGUUCUUGCAUUUAAAUUUUUGAAAUUUAAGGCUUAAAUUAAUAAUUUAAAAAUACAGA